rnacentral:rRNA from 1 species
UACGUAGGGGGCGAGCGUUGUCCGGAUUCAUUGGGCGUAAAGAGCUCGUAGGCGGCUUGGUUAGUUGGGUGUGAAACCUCCAGGCUUAACCUGGAGACGCCACUCAAUACUGCCAUGGCUAGAGUCCGGUAGGGGACCACGGAAUUCCUGGUGUAGCGGUGAAAUGCACAGAUAUCAGGAGGAACACCGGUGGCGAAGGCGGGUCUCUGGGCCGUUACUGACGCUGAGGAGCGAAAGCGUGGGGAGCGAACAGG